rnacentral:misc_RNA from 1 species
GUCUCAAGUACUUCAUUACUUCAAUCACAAAAAGCAUUGUUUCUUUCAUUGUCUCACCUAUUUCAUUAUCUUCAACCAUAUACAAAUACAAAAUAGUCUCAGAAAAAUGAAAAAUAAUACAGAAGCCACAUUAGGAUCAUGCCAUGAACCCUAAUUUGCUCCAGUAAUAUGUGCCUCAUAUUGGGUACAACAUUUUUCAUUAAUCUCUAACACAAAACUUGGAAAAACCCACAAUAAAUUACACAACAUAGGGCCUUAAAAGAACACGGAUCAGCUUCACAAAGCUACUUUAAUCUACAGGCACUGGAACUUUGUUAUAAUAGAAUAACAAAAUGAAAAGAAAUUAGAGAAAUCAAAUGGUAAAGAGAAGAGUAAUUUGACAGAGAGACUUACAUGGGGGUUCUUCUUAGGUUUG